GUGUUCACUGAACAGCACACAUAAUAAAAUUGGAAUGACACAAAGACUAGCAUGUUUCCUGCUCACGGAUGACAUGCAAAUUCAUGAAGCAUUAAAUAAAAAC